UUAUAAAUAUAUAGUUUUAGUUGUAAUAUGUUGAAUUCUAACUAUAAUAUGUGUUUAAUUUUAUGUUUGUUGAUGUAGGAAAGAAACAAAGGACUAAAAGGAAAGAAUUUUGAAAAAGAAGAUUUUGCCUUAGCAUUGCACCUGAUGCUAAGCCAAAAUGAGGCAGUGCAUAUUGAUUGAUAAAAUAAGAUUUUGGCUUAGCAUUGCAUCUGAUGCUAAGCCAAAACAAGGCAGUGCAUUCUGAACGAAAUUGAACGCAUUUUUGGCUUAGCAAGAAUGAUGGUGCUAAGCCAAAGGAAUGAAACCACUUCUGAAGAAAUGCACUUUGGCUUAGCAAUGUACCUGAUGCUAAGCCAAAGUAGGGUGGCUAGAACCCCUUUAAAAUGGAUUUUUCAGAUCUUCUUCAAUAUGCAACACAUUUAGAAGGGGAAAUAAGUCACUUUUAGAGAGAGAAACAAGGGAGAAAGCUUAGGAGGCUG
rnacentral:lncRNA from 1 species